rnacentral:lncRNA from 1 species
GCCGUCUGCUCCGUCUGCCUCUGCUGCUACACCGUCAAUCACCUGCCCUUCCUGGUGAGUACCUCCGCUUAUUUUCUCGGCGCCGCGGUCACUGGGUCGGGCCACCGUCGAUCCAGCUUCUACGGCCCCAUCCCGUCUGGGAAGCGGCGGGACCACCGUGGCCAUUCUUUGGUUCGGUAUCCGUGCCGGACGCGUUGGGAAAGUCGGCGGAAGCGCGCCUCUUUUUUCCGUCACUGGGCCGUAAAUUCGGCGGAUAACGAGGUCCGCUUGGCUAGCCAAGGACGUCCCGUCCUAUUACAAAAACCGGGAUGUAGAAAGGAACUGGGGCCGGCAAUCCAGGCCUAGCGCGCCUCCGACCUUAUUCCAUCCUCCGGGUUUGCAGUCGAGUUGGGUAAAUGUAGACUAAGGCCGCCGGUGUACCGUCUGUACGGAAAUGGUUCGGUCGAUCGACUUCGGUAACCGAUCUCCAGCUAUUGGCCGAUUUCCAAUUAUCCCGCCUGGCUUAGCGCGCCUUAGUAACGCGGCGGGAAAUUUCCGUCCAGCGGUGGAAGUAAUGGUAACGGAUCCGAUGGAUGGCCUUAUCGAAAAUAAUAUAAACCAGUCUAAGGACAGGUCCGCGGCUGCGAUUUACAGGAAAAUCUUCGACCGUUACUUAUGACUAAAAUGCCAAACCAGUUAUCGUUCGAAUAUGAAAGACCCGAAGCGGUAGCCACGUUUUUAGUUUACAAAUACCAAAAUGAUAAGCCCGUUCGGUCGUCGCUAAAAGCGCCCCGGUCGGACGGUUUAGCCGCUAAACCGCCAUUUUUACCGGCUUAGUUUAACGGCCGAUGUAAACGGUAGUCGAUAUUCGACCGACCAUCCACCACCGUCGAAAUCGCUUAUUAAAACGCCUCUUUAUCUUAGAGGGCGCUCGAAAACGCCAGUUUGGUUAACGGUGGACGGGAUUUAGCGGCGCUUCUUCCUUCCCACCCGGCGCUCGUUCUCGGACACGUCGAUAAAAGCGCCGCGGCCUGACCGACUGGGUCCGGCCUAGACCACCACGGGGUAAGCCGGGUCACCUUCCACGGUCCAAUCUGCCGCCACGGGAGUACGACUUUUCUUCCCACGGUCGAAUCCCGCGUGUCAGACUCGCGUAAUUAUGUUUUUUAGCGGCGGGCCAAUUCUAUCGGAACGGGAUUUGAACCCGGAUGGGGCGGAACGGUGCCAGUAUUAUUGGACCGAAACUCCGACCCGGGUAGCUAUGGAGAGCUGGACGGAUUUGGAAGAAGCAUCCCCGGCCGCUAUAGCACCGGCAGAAGAUAAGCGGGGGAGGAUAGGCUACGGCCGUUAAGAAUAUCCCGGUCAAACGAGUUGUCAAUAAAAUGUGGCUCGGCCAUUUUUGCCGGUGGAAAAGAAUUUUUUCAAGCGACGCGAGUGGCCUGUAUUUAACUCGCAGGUUAUCCGAAGAAGAAGAAUGGCCCGUCUGUUCUCCGGUUACCGAGAAAAUACCCACCAAUUUUUUCCAUUCGUUUAAGUCCGGUAACAGAGUUACGGGACUGGCUGGAAGUAUUAUAUGGUCCAGGUUGAGAGCCGCCCGUGGCACGGAAUCUUCUCUGUUAGGCGAACCUACUCUUAAAAUUUUAAAAUAUUGCACGGUUAGCGGCCAAAAUUCCCUCGCCUUUACCCGACAUCGACCCGAAAUUACGCGUUUUCCGUAACAUUCCGGUCGACCCGUGGUCGGGCGGCCUACCUAUCAAUUUUUUGCGGUCGGUGGCCGCCUAACUACGCUUUUAUAGCGUUGAAUAAAUAUUGCCCGGAGCGAUAUCCGAGCAGCGAUUGGCCUAGCUGGCCUCCAGUUUAACCCGGCUAGGGCCGCUAUUUCUCGGCAGCCGUCGAGAGCCAGAUAGGCCCAUUUACUUAAAUACAGCUGAGCUGACAGAGAACGCUUAGCUUUACUAGCUGGAUGGCGCCGUCGGCUGGGUGUCCAACGGUAUCGGUAGACGGCGGCCACUUUCCGCCUUUUCGUUCGGGCCUAACACCCCGACCAAAAUUUAAAAAUAACAAAAAUACGUCCGAUAUACAAAUAGGAAGUGAAGACCGGUUCUCCCUUAUACGCCUACCUCCGCUGGAGAACCGCUGGUAUAUAGUAUACGUAAAUUAUAUAUACUAGGGUCGUGUAGGCGGUAUAAGCUUAUACGUAUACGUAUACAGCCUACGCGCGUAUAUAAUUGAGUGCGCGUAUACGCGCCAUAUUUAGCGCCAGGCGGUACGGAUAACGUAUAUUACUGUAUUAUAUAAUUUCGAUAGUAUAAAAUAAUUUCGUUUAACGAGGCGGGAAUAUUUUACGGACCGAGUGGAAUACGGAAAGCCAAAAAUUAUCGGAGAGCGUAUUUAAUUAAGAAGAGCCACUAAGAUCCACACGCACUCUCCUUUACUAGUCGAGAAUAUUUAGGAGGCCGAGUGGCCGGGCCGCGGGACCCGAAUUGGCCUCCCUGGACCGAACUCUCGAAAACUUUUUUCGGCCUCCUCUGCUGGCCGGUGUGGAUACGGCCGGUGGAGGGAACGGGCCCCGCCCCUUACUCAUCUCCACCGGGAGAAACGGAGGUAAAAUAUGUCACCAAAAAGUGAAGACCAUUUAAAAUUAUAUCCGUAAUAUAGCCGAUGAUGGGACCAGGCGGAAUAUAUUAUACUACCGUCCCGCUUCCAAAGAACGGUUGGUUAAAAGACCCCAUCUACUUAUAAUUGGCGUUAUUUCCGUAACAAAAUUGUAUCGAAAUUUCUCCGCCUGUUUCCAUCCGGCACGGGCCAACUUUUGUCAUCGAUUGGCUGGAAAAAUAUUAGUUUGGCACCGAACUGUAAAUUCCUCGGUCGUAUAGUAUUUUUGGGCAUUAUCUUCUUUUCUUCUACCCACGGUAACUGCCCCACCGCUAGGUGUAAGCGUACCGGGUUGGGUUAGAAGCGUUCAGAAUUUAAACAGACCAAACUUAAAAGUUUAAACCAAAAAGAUGAAGAGGGAUGGGACAGAUUGGCUCUAGCCGGAAGAGAUACCAGAUUGAAUACGGUAAUACCACCGGUUCCGUGUUUUUCCUAUUACCUAAUAUAAUAAAUGUCGACACUAUCGGAAGAAGGUACACCAGGACCACUUUAUCUCCAACGGAAUCUGUGGGUUUACUAGGGUAUCCCGAGACCAUCAGUUCCCAUUUAUUACGGUAAUUACCGAGUUAUAAAGCGGACACCCCAAUCUUAGCCGGUAAGAGAGAAAGCCACAAACCAAAACUGACCUAUCCGUCGGUCCGCUUAAAAUUAGACAGAUACCACCGAAAUACGGUCGAUGUAUAUACCCGAUGAAGAGGUCGGGACUAGCGGUAACUUGGAGGAAAGCCGACUCCACUGGUGCCAGACAAUGGUUAGAAGAACGCCUUCUGUUUAAAGCGGUGUUUUCCGACUUUUUUUAAACCAUCCAUAGAGUAAUUUAAACUCCGAGAGCCGCUUUAAAUUUUAAUUAAACACCGAGUUUAUCCGCAUCGAUAUAGCGUAAAUAGCCAGAGGCCGUACAGUCUACCCGCCAACGGUGUAAGUGGCCCUAUAACUAGUUUAAUUUACGCACGCCGAGUUAAAAAGGAGUACACUCCUGACCGGCGGCUUUCGGCUAGGCUGUCCGACGACGUUACUCCACGGUGGCUAAAGAGGUUUGGCUUCGAAAACCCCCGCCCCAAUUAAAAAUACAUUUAAGGAAAGUCCAUUCGGUUUUAAAGAUUAAUUCAGUUUAAAAUAUCGAAGGACUCGACUCAGAGGCGGCAGCCAUCCGCCUAUCUCUAGCCUUUUAAAGUUACACAUUUCUUUAUAUGUAUAUAAAAAUCGUAAAUUAUUCCUCUUUGGUUGACUCGGGGCGCACCUGGCUACCUUUCGGAGCGCACCGAUGGAGAAAGCCUGUUUAAAGAAUAGAAUGGUGUCGACCGCUAAAUACGGAAGUUUUAUUAAGGCAGCGGAGUAAUUUUAUUUGGAGAGGUUAGUUAAUAUUUAAUAAUUAAACCGCCGUACACUAAAGAUCAGUCUCGGGCCCCCGACUAGCCACCGCCGUACGGUAUGGGGGUUUCCACCGCUCCCAACCCGUAGGGCCUGGUCACUCCAGACUAACCGAUACCCAGCCAUAAUUUAAACUAGGCGCCGGCCAGACAAAUGGCUGGAUAAUUAGCGUAAUAGCAAAGCGUAAUAGAUUACACUCGCUUCCACUCGUUUACGGAGGGUUUGCGGCGAGAAGGGGGUUCGGGUCACAGGGGCCAACGGACGUUUCAUGGAAGAGAGUUGUUUCACCAUGGCGUGCGGCCGUUGCGCGGGGUGGAGGAGCGCUUCCACCUUUCCGAUGACCCGUGGCAGACGUCAGUUUUACAUUUUCAGCCUGUAUUAUCUAUAAUAUGGUACCUUAUUUUAACAACGACAGUUGUAAUAUACGAUACCACGUAUACAGUCAAGAUAUCAU